CCUGAGUGGAAUAGAGUUGGAGGGCGUUUUUUAGUAGUAGGCUAUAGAGUGGUAUUCAAGGAUACAUGUUAGAAAGAACAGCGAUUGGGUAUACCACAAAGGGAUAGAAAACACUGCGAGGGACGUUUGUAACGGUGAUCGGGUUACUCCUCUGGCCCAUCAGCUGAAUAGGUGGGGCUUGAUCAAUGGCAGGAAACUGAAGGAUCAAAUGUCAUAAAAUGGUGCCAGGCUGUGACACGAAGGCAGGGGCCGUGAAACCGUACCUUCAUCAUCAGACUGUACAGUAGAGAGACAGAGUCUCACUCCCGGUCAACUGGCCUCGGCUGCAGAAGCCAUAUGAGGUGGAAACCGAGAAGCUGAAGAAAUCAGUUCUGAGGGGAGACACCAGGACUUUCAGGGGGCUUCGUGAUGAGUGAAAUCAGGGACGGGGUUCAGUGGGAAAUCGCAUGCCAUGCCUCAAUCAGCAACAUGACCCAACAACCAGGGAGGCAUGUGUCAAUCAAAAUGUGUCAGUGUGGGUUUGUGGGUAACCAGUAAAUCAGUAAGGAUUUUAAGCCAUCAUUUAAGAAAAACUGAGAGAUGCUCUGCUGCACUAAUAAGUGUUAAUACUGCUAUAACACCAUAAGACCAGGGGCAUCUUGCACUAUUUUUUGUUUGUUGGAUGGGACACUGAUGACAGUUUUGGCUCACUUAAUGACUAAGAAUAAACAAGAUUAUGAUGGGAAUGGGGAAAACAUCUAGUACUUAUGUGUUGUAAAUUGUGUAAAUGUGAUUAGUGUGUUCUAAUAAAGAUAAACAAUAAUGAUAUAUGAUAAUAAAAUAA